AAAGCCAAGAAGACUCAAGAAGAAAAAAUUAAAUCAAUGAGAAGAAGAAAACCUGAAACCAGAGAGAGAAGAAUUUAUGGAGGGAGCAGGGACGGAAUAGAGCCAAGGAGGAAGAUAAGGCUGAUGGGAUGAUACACAGAAACUCCAAAGAAUUUAUGAAUCAUGCAUGAUUGUGCUGAAUAUGCAAUAAGAGAUGUACUUUUAAAGAUGAUCUUUUGGAUGUAGAGGUGUGCCUUUGGCUCUCUGCCAAAGCACCCGGCCGUAAUACCCUUAUUUGCUAUUGUCUCCUAAUUGUUUCUUUUAUUAAACUUUCCUUAAAAUUUUA